UCUGUAGCUCAGUAGGUAGAGCAGGGGACUGAAAAUCCCCGUGUCGAUGGUUCGAUUCCGUCCGGA
rnacentral:tRNA from 1 species